CGUCCAACUGUGCUUUGGUAUGGCUGACAACACCAGGAGUCGCACCCCACACAUAAAUAGAGCCAUGGCAAAUCAAGAAGAAAAACGAAAGGUUACAGAAGGUCUCAUAGCUCAAGGAGAGGCACAGUCACAGACGGCGAACGCACAAUUUGAGAAAGCAGUUAGGAAAAAACGGCGUCGCAAGCGUUUGAUGUGCUCUUGUUUUCGUAACUAUGACGACGAAACAGACAAUCGGGAAUAAAAAGCUUCAUAAGCGCAAUGACUUUUCGACAUAUUCUUCCCAUUAUACAUAUCGUUGUUUUUAAGGCUGGCAGUGAUAUCAUGUCUUUUAAUAUUUUGGUGUUAAUUGCGUGUAUUGUAUUUAUAUUCAAUGUAGUAUGUUUGUAAAAAUAUAUCCAUAACCAUCUGUAUAAUUGAGCCGCACCAUGAGAAAACCAACAUAGUGCAUUUGCGACCAGCAUGGAUCCGGACCAGCCUGCGCAUCCGCCCAGUCUGGUCAGGAACUAUACUGUUCGCUUUCAAAACCUAUUGCAGUUAGAGACACUGGAUCCAUGAUAGUUGCAAAUACAAUAUGUUGGCUUUCUCAUGGUGCAGCUCAUAUUAUAGUGUUUAUAAAAAGAAUAUCUGUAUUGGGAUGAAAUCUUUUUAUUUCUUUAUUAAAUCAGAUAUUACUUCAUUUCAUGAUUUGCAUUCUUAACUGCACAAUUUUCAACAUUAAAUAUUAACAAUUCUGUUGGAGAAUAGGUCAUAUCUAGUGGUCAUUGUUAAAUUCAUAACCGACUAUAAAUAGUUUCUUGCAUCUCUUGUGACAUACACCGGCAAGGAUGCAGCCGAGUCAGAAAUCAACGCACACACUUUUAAAAGUUUAGAAAAUUUUAAAGCUGUCAAAAAUUGUUUUAUUUAUGGCACAAAGUAGGUACAAUGAUACAUUUGGAAAUAAAUUUUUAGUUUGG